CGAACGCUGGCGGCGUGCUUAACACAUGCAAGUCGAACGAGAAAACUCCCUUCGGGGAGCGAGUAAAGUGGCGCACGGGUCCGUAACACGUGGAUAAUCUGCCUUUGGGUGGGGGAUAACUCGUCGAAAGAUGGGCUAAUACCUCAUAAGACCACAGGAUCUUAGGAUCUCGGGGUAAAAGGUGGCCUCUGUUUCAAGCUAUUGCCUGAAGAUGAGUCCGCGUACCAUUAGCUUGUUGGUGGGGUAAAGGCCCACCAAGGCAAAGAUGGUUAGCUGGUCUGAGAGGACGAUCAGCGACACUGGAACUGAGACACGGUCCAGACUCCUACGGGAGGCAGCAGUGGGGAAUUUUGGACAAUGGGCGAAAGCCUGAUCCAGCAACGCCGCGUGAGUGAUGAAGGUCUUCGGAUCGUAAAGCUCUGUCAGAUGGAACGAAUAUGGGUGACCCAACACGUCACCCCUUGACGGUACUAUCAAAGGAAGCACCGGCUAACUCU
rnacentral:rRNA from 1 species